UGACCUCCAAGGAUUAAGAUGGAAAUAAAUAUUCAACCCAUUUGACCGAGAAGGGCGAUUCGUUUCAACCGAUUUCAAGCAGGUCAGCUUCUGUUACAAGCUUGUCCGCCUGAUUUAUUUGCUGGAUUAUACCACAUUUGAAAGUUUCCAGUCAAACAUUCAUGAAAAUGGUAGUCAGUAUCAGUUGAUGUUAGCUAACGGUCUACAGUUUCCUGUUCAAUAUUGCGUUCAUUAACAGUACUUUCGAGUGAAUUUAGCCUAGGUGAACUAUGACGCACAAGGUCAGAUCUUUUAACACUUGAUUUUCAUUUUUUGAAUAAAUAUAA